GAUGAACGCUGGCGGCGUGCCUAAUACAUGCAAGUCGAGCGAACAGACGAGGAGCUUGCUCCUCUGACGUUAGCGGCGGACGGGUGAGUAACACGUGGAUAACCUACCUAUAAGACUGGGAUAACUUCGGGAAACCGGAGCUAAUACCGGAUAAUAUAUUGAACCGCAUGGUUCAAUAGUGAAAGACGGUUUUGCUGUCACUUAUCGAUGGAUCCGCGCCGCAUUAGCUAGUUGGUAAGGUAACGGCUUACCAAGGCGACGAUGCGUAGCCGACCUGAGAGGGUGAUCGGCCACACUGGAACUGAGACACGGUCCAGACUCCUACGGGAGGCAGCAGUAGGGAAUCUUCCGCAAUGGGCGAAAGCAUGACGGAGCAACGCCGCGUGAGUGAUGAAGGUCUUCGGAUCGUAAAACUCUGUUAUUAGGGAAGAACAAAUGUGUAAGUAACUAUGCACGUCUUGACGGUAACUAAUCAGAAAGCCACGGCUAACUACGUG
rnacentral:rRNA from 1 species